UCAAGGACAUUUUGUUAUUCUAUAUAAGCCCCCUUCUCAACUUGUUGCCACACCCACAUUUUAUUUCGAUUUUUUCUCCUUCCUUUCUUGUUUGCUUUAUUUCUGUUAUCUCUUGUGUGUUACGCUGCUUCUUUGCAAUCCAAGAUGACUAUUCUCAUUGAGCAACCUAUCUUCGAUUCACAAUUUGACGUGAAGAAUGUGGACUCUAACGAAACCAACGAGCUUGUGUUGGAUGGUGGAUUUUCAAUGCCAAAGGAGGUGUCUCAGAAUGGAUUCGCAACCCCAGAAGUGAAUUCAUUUGGCCAUUCCUUCAGGGAUUAUGAUGCUGAAAGUGAAAGGCAAAAGGGUGUGGAGGAAUUCUAUAAAUUGCAGCACAUCAACCAGACAUAUGACUUCGUGAAGAAAAUGAGGGAGCACUACGGAAAAUUGGACAGAGCUGAAAUGGGCAUAUGGGAAUGUUGUGAGUUGCUUAAUGAAGUGGUAGAUGAAAGCGAUCCUGAUUUAGAUGAACCUCAAAUUCAACAUUUACUUCAAUCUGCUGAAGCUAUUAGAAAAGAUUAUCCUAAUGAGGAUUGGUUACAUUUGACUGCUCUCAUUCAUGAUCUUGGAAAGAUUCUUCUACUUCCUCAAUUUGGUGAGCUUCCUCAAUGGGCGGUUGUUGGAGAUACAUUUCCGGUUGGUUGUGCCUUCGAUGAAGCAAACAUUCACCACAAGUAUUUCAAGGAAAACCCUGAUAUCAAAAAUCCUGCAUAUGGCACAAAGGAUGGAAUCUACACUAAAGAAUGUGGACUCAAUAACGUAAUGAUGUCAUGGGGACACGAUGAUUAUAUGUAUUUGGUGAGUCUUUAUAGAAUUCAUGAUUUAUAAUCUUUACACAGAGAAGGUGCAUAUACACAUCUCAUGAAUGAUGAAGAUCGUGAAAACUUAAAAUGGCUACACGUAUUCAACAAAUAUGAUCUGUAUAGUAAGAGCAAAGUCUUAGUUGAUGUAGAAAAAGUUAAGCCAUACUAUCAAUCUCUUAUUGCGAAGUAUUUCCCAGCAAAGCUUAGAUGGUGAAACUUCAAUAUGAUGGAUGGAAGCCAAGAGGGAAUUGAGUUGUUUUUUGUUUUCUUGAAACCAUGUUACAAAAUUUGUUGAAAGCUGAAAUUGAUCAAUCCGUCACGUUUAUCCAGUCUUUAAACAUUGAACUACUGUAUUAGCAUAUUGCGAAGAGCAUAUUGUACAUGCAUUGUGUAUUAGCAUAUUGCGAAGAGCACAUAAUAAAUUAUAUACUAUUCAUAUAGUUCUUUCAA